GGUUAAGCGACUAAGCGUACACGGUGGAUGCCCUGGCAGUCAGAGGCGAUGAAGGACGUGCUAAUCUGCGAAAAGCGUCGGUAAGGUGAUAUGAACCGUUAUAACCGGCGAUGUCCGAAUGGGGAAACCCAGU
rnacentral:rRNA from 1 species